rnacentral:misc_RNA from 1 species
UUUCCGUAGGUGAACCUGCGGAAGGAUCAUUCAUAAUAAAGUGUUUUAUGGCACUUUUUAAAAAUCCAUAUCCACCUUGUGUGCAAUGUUAGAUCUCGUCAAUCUUGGCGAGAUUUUUAUACAUCAACUCAUUUUUUAACUAAUUUGUCUGAAAAAUACUAUGAAUACUUAAUUCAAAAUACAACUUUCAACAACGGAUCUCUUGGCUCUC